CGAUCGAUAGCUCAGUGGCAGAGCCCUGGGGCAUUGACCCAUGCGGCCCGGGUUCGAGCCCCGGUCGAUGCG